rnacentral:rRNA from 1 species
UUCGAAGGGGGCUAGCGUUGCUCGGAAUUACUGGGCGUAAAGGGCGCGUAGGCGGCUGUUUAAGUCAGCGGUGAAAGCCCAGGGCUCAACCUUGGAACUGCCAUUGAUACUGGACAUCUUGAGUACGGGAGAGGUGAGUGGAACACCGAGUGUAGAGGUGAAAUUCGUAGAUAUCUGGAGGAACACCGGUGGCGAAAGCGGCUCACUGGACCCGAUCUGACACUGAGGUGCGAAAGCUAGGGUAGCAAACGGG